rnacentral:misc_RNA from 1 species
GUGAAUCAUCAAAUUUUUGAACGCAAAUUGCACUUCCUGGCAUUCCGGGGAGUAUGCCUGUUUGAGGGUCGUUAGAACAAAAAUCGAAGCGUCGUUCUAUUUUUUACGGGUGCUCGCGUUGGAAUUGAGCAGCCUUUCGAAUGUUAAUUCAUGUCAAAGUGGCUUGAAAUUCAUCCAUACGGUACGAUUAAAGUGUUUUUAUGAUCAACUCUGAUUAAGAAAGCGUGAUGAAAGUCCCAUCCCAC